GAAAGAGCAGAGAAGGAAUAGAACAACUUUGA
rnacentral:rRNA from 2 species